GGGAAAGACCGGUGCCAGCCGCCGCGGUAAUACCGGCAGUUCAAGUGGCAUCCAUUUUUAUUGGGUCUAAAACAUCCGUAGCUUGUUAUUUAAGUCUCCUGUGAAAUCUAAUAUCUCAAGUAUUAGGCUUGCGGGAGAUACUGAAUAGCUUGAGACCGGUAGGCGUAAGGAGUACGAGGAAGGUAGUGGUAAAAUACGUUAAUCUUCUUUGGACUAACAAUUAGCGAAGGCACCUUACGAGGACGGAUCUGACAGUGAGGGAUGAAGGCCAGGGGCGCAAAACGGAUUAGAUACCCGUGUAGUCCUGGCAGUAAACACUGUUCACUAAACAUCGGGCCCUCUUCGGGAGGAUUCGGUGCUGAAGGGAAGCCGAAGAGUGAACUACCUGGGAAGUAUAGUCGCAAGGUCGAAACUUAAAGGAAUUGGCGGGGGAGCACAA
rnacentral:rRNA from 1 species